rnacentral:rRNA from 1 species
AGGAAUCUGCCUGGUAGUGGGGGACAACGUUUCGAAAGGAACGCUAAUACCGCAUACGUCCUACGGGAGAAAGCAGGGGACCUUCGGGCCUUGCGCUAUCAGAUGAGCCUAGGUCGGAUUAGCUAGUUGGUGGGGUAAUGGCUCACCAAGGCGACGAUCCGUAACUGGUCUGAGAGGAUGAUCAGUCACACUGGAACUGAGACACGGUCCAGACUCCUACGGGAGGCAGCAGUGGGGAAUAUUGGACAAUGGGCGAAAGCCUGAUCCAGCCAUGCCGCGUGUGUGAAGAAGGUCUUCGGAUUGUAAAGCACUUUAAGUUGGGAGGAAGGGCAGUAAGCUAAUACCUUGCUGUUUUGACGUUACCGACAGAAUAAGCACCGGCUAACUCUGUGCCAGCAGCCGCGGUAAUACAGAGGGUGCAAGCGUUAAUCGGAAUUACUGGGCGUAAAGCGCGCGUAGGUGGUUCGUUAAGUUGGAUGUGAAAGCCCCGGGCUCAACCUGGGAACUGCAUCCAAAACUGGCGAGCUAGAGUACGGUAGAGGGUGGUGGAAUUUCCUGUGUAGCGGUGAAAUGCGUAGAUAUAGGAAGGAACACCAGUGGCGAA